AUCCUUCUGGUUCAUAGGUGUGAUGAAUGGGUGGUCACAUGGCUGUGUGAGAUGUGCCGUCCUACUCUUGUUACGACUUGGCACAUUACCCGUCUGAUC